rnacentral:tRNA from 1 species
GCCGGCGUGGCUCCGUGGCUGAGCAUCCGCCUAUGAACCGGGAGGUCAGGGUUUGAUUCCCUGUCAGGGCA